UACGGAGGGUGCAAGCGUUAGUCGGAAUUAUUGGGCGUAAAGGGUGCGUAGGCGGGAAUGUAAGUCAUAUGUGAAAUUCCGGGGCUUAACCUCGGAGCUGCAUUUGAUACUACAUUUCUUGUCGGAUGGCGGAGAAAAUGGAAUUCCACGUGUAGCGGUGAAAUGCGCAGAUAUCAGGAAGAACACCCGUGGCUAAGGCGGUUCUCUAGUACGGUACUGACGCUGAGACGCGAAAGCGUGGGGAGCGAACAGG
rnacentral:rRNA from 1 species